rnacentral:rRNA from 1 species
AUACGGAGGAUCCGAGCGUUAUCCGGAUUUAUUGGGUUUAAAGGGUGCGCAGGCGGCCAUUUAAGUCAGCGGUUAAAUCGUGGGGCUCAACCCCAUUCUGCCGUUGAUACUGGGUGGCUUGAUUGCGGUCGAGGUUGGCGGAAUUCGUUGUGUAGCGGGGAAAUGCAUAGAUAUGACGAAGAACACCGAUUGCGUAGGCAGCUGACCAGACCGCAAAUGACGCUCAUGCACGAAAGUGCGGGGAUCGAACAGGAUUAGAUACCCUGGUAGUCCGCACAGUAAACGAUGAAUACUUGUUUUCGGCGAUAUAAUGUCGGAGGCAAAGCGAAAGCGAUAAGUAUUCCACCUGGGGAGUACGCCGGCAACGGUGAAACUCAAAUGAAUUGACGG